GAUGAACGCUAGCGGCAGGCUUAACACAUGCAAGUCGAGGGGCAGCGAGGUAGCAAUACCGUCGGCGACCGGCGCACGGGUGAGUAACAGGUAUGCAAUCUGCCUCUAACAGGGGGAUAACCCGUCGAAAGACGGACUAACACCGCAUAAGACCACGGGAUGGCAUCAUUUUGUGGUAAAAUAUUUAUAGGUUAGAGAUGAGCAUGCUUAUCAUUAGGUAGUUGGUAGAGUAACGGCCUACCAAGCCGACGAUGAUUAGGGGUUCUGAGAGGAAGGUCCCCCACACUGGUACUGAGACACGGACCAGACUCCUACGGGAGGCAGCAGUGAGGAAUAUUGGUCAAUGGGCGCGAGCCUGAACCAGCCAUGCCGCGUGAAGGAAGACGGCCCUACGGGUUGUAAACUUCUUUUGUACGGGAACAAUAAGAGUUACGUGUAACUUGAUGAGCGUACCGUACGAAUAAGCAUCGGCUAACUCCGUGCCAGCAGCCGCGGUAAUACGGAGGAUGCAAGCGUUAUCCGGAUUUAUUGGGUUUAAAGGGUGCGUAGGCGGGCGCAUAAGUCAGUGGUGAAAUACAAUCGCUUAACGAUUGAGGUGCCAUUGAUACUGUGUGUCUUGAGUGUAUUUGAGGUAGGCGGAAUGUGCAGUGUAGCGGUGAAAUGCUUAGAUAUUGCACAGAACACCGAUUGCGAAGGC
rnacentral:rRNA from 1 species